CUGCCCAGUGAUAUUAUUCAACGGCCGCGGUAUCCUAACCGUGCAAAGGUAGCAUAAUCACUUGCCUAUUAAUUGUAGGCUAGAAUGAACGGAUCAACGAAAUAAAAACUGUCUCAAUUAGUAAACUAAAAAUUAUUCUCUAUAUGAAGAAAAAUAGAUAUAUUCGAAGGACAAGAAGACCCUAUAGAGCUUUAUCUCAAAUGUGGGGUAAAACUACAUAAGAGAUUCGGUUGGGGCGACCAAGGGAAUAUUUAUCACCCUGAAACACCCAGAUAAAUUAAUCAAAAUAGUGACCCUAAUAAGAUCAAAAAAUCAAGUUACCUUAGGGAUAACAGGCUAAUCCUACUAAAGAGUCCAUAUCGACAGUAGGGUUUGGCACCUCGAUGUUGGCUUAGGGAAUCAAUAUAGCGCAAAAG
rnacentral:rRNA from 1 species